CAUAUCCUAAGAUUAAGAUUCUGGUUUCAUGGAGAAAGUGGGACCUUCUCACAGGUUAGGUCCCUAGGUCUCUCAACCUGUGUGCAUCUACCUGGCCUUAUCAGAUACACCUACAUACAAACCAAAGGCAAUAGUGGAAUGAAAUUUGGUUAUAUUUUUUAGUAGUACUGAGGAAUCUCUGCUUUCUUGGAUUCUCAGGCUAAACAGCCAUGCAACUGUUGAUUUUAGAAACUACUUAAUGGAAAGAGUUCUCUGGUAUGACUGCUAAUCAUCAACUUGUCACAGUGUUCAGUAUUUGAUCCAAUGAAGACCCAAAUUAAAUAUCAGCGCCCCUUUGGGAGUGUGUGAUGUCUGAAAUACCUUGAAUUUAUACGGAAAAGGAAAACUUUAUAUCCAUUUUGUUAACAGUGAAACUGUUGCUUCUGUGGAAGCAUUAAAAAUAUAAAGGGCAGUGGCAACCCUGCUUGGUUUUAUGAUGAUUAGUGUUGAGCUUCCCUAUGCCUCUGCCCCGCACUAUUAUAGACAUUGUGAUUAGGGGGAAUCCCUCAUGCAUAUGUUCCCAGUAGGAUACUUUUAGUGAGAAAACAAGGAUUCGAAUAUGCAGAAUGCCAAGGCAGAUUUGUUCUCACAGCUACUGAUAAUGGGCUUUAUAAAUAAAAAGAAAGUUUAAGCUGUUCAGAAGAAAGCUAAUGGGCUGGGGUGAAGAUACUGACCAGAAUAAGAGAAAUAAACAUUCAAUCAGGUAGAAUGAUCAGGUAGAAUGAUCUUUAAAAAUUUUUUGAAGGGCAAGUGAGGGGAGGGAAUAGAGAAGGAAGAAAUUGACAGGAUCCCUACAAAGGGUUUGACAGCACAUUAACAAUAGCUUAGAGAAAGGAAACCUACUCUAGCUCCUGUAUCCACCUCACCUAAGCUACCCUAUCAGAUCUGUUCCGAUUAUCCCAGCCUGGAGGAGUUUAAAGGUAGCAAUGAUGAAAAAAAUAGGAAAAUAAAGUGUGUUUAGCACAGGGUAAUGAUUUUAACUUGUCUAUUAAGGUUGUGGGUAAGAGGAUAAAUAACGAGGGAAGGAUGGGCACAGUGGCACAUGUCUAUAAUCCCAGCACUUUGAGAGGCUGAGGCAGGAAGAUUAUUAGAGCUCAGGAGUUCACUACCAGCCUAGUGAGAACUCUUCUCUACAAAAAAUAGAAAAAAGUUGUCAGGUGUGGUGGUGCGCAUCUGUAGCCCCAGCUACUCGAGAGGCUAAGGUGGGAUCACUUGAGCCUGAGAAGUCAAGGCUACAGUGAUCCAUGAUGGCACCACUGCACUCUAGCCUGGGCAGCAGAAUGAAACCCUGUCUAAAAAAAA
rnacentral:lncRNA from 1 species